GGGGAGCAUUGUGCUAUUGUAAGAUGGGUUAAAGUUCAAUCUCAUGCGAACUAUUUAAUUUCUUUUAACUUCUAUCUGAUAAUAUGCAAAACAGUCAUCUAAAACCAUACUAUUGAAACAUAUUGUUUGUUGAAAAGAAGCCCAGAAAGGAUUGCUUAAGCUUUGAUGCUUAUAUAGAAGUAUAGUUGUGUUUUUGUUGGUUGGGUGGAUUGUGGGAUAAUGCCUACAUUGUGGUCAUCUUACUUUCUUCUUAAUGAAAUUUUCACUGAAAGUUAUAAUUUUGUUUUUUUAUCCCUUGCCUACAGAAAAUUCCAAAAUUAUAGUUUGUAUUACAAUUUUAAUAAAGGGUUAAUUUUGAAAGUUGGGUUAUUGGUUGAAGUUAAUUUUGUAACUAACCCCCUG
rnacentral:misc_RNA from 1 species